rnacentral:rRNA from 1 species
CCCUUAGAUGUUCGGAGCUGCACGCGCGCUACACUGAAGGAAGCAGCGUGUUAGAGCGCCUGGCUUGAAAGAGCUGGGUAAUCCGGUGAAUGUCCUUCGUGAUUGGGAUAGGGACUUGUAAUUAUUUCCCUUGAACGAGGAAUACCUAGUAAGUGCGAGUCAUCAGCUUGCGCUGACUUACGUCCCUGCCCUUUGUACACACCGCCCGUCGCUCCUACCGAUUGAGCGGUCCGGUGAAGACUCAGGAGAUGGGCGCGUGCUUGGUUCGCCAACUGCGCUGCCUGCCAAAUUUGUCUAAACCUUAUCGCUUAGAGGAAGGAGAAGUCGUAACA